GACGAACGCUGGCGGCGUGCUUAACACAUGCAAGUCGAACGCUGAAGCUCAGCUUUUGUUGGGUGGAUGAGUGGCGAACGGGUGAGUAACACGUGAGUAACCUGCCCCCUUCUUUGGGAUAACGCCCGGAAACGGGUGCUAAUACUGGAUAUUCACUGGUCUUCGCAUGGGGGUUGGUGGAAAGGGUUUUUCUGGUGGGGGAUGGGCUCGCGGCCUAUCAGCUUGUUGGUGGGGUGAUGGCCUACCAAGGCUUUGACGGGUAGCCGGCCUGAGAGGGUGCCCGGUCACAUUGGGACUGAGAUACGGCCCAGACUCCUACGGGAGGCAGCAGUGGGGAAUAUUGCACAAUGGGCGCAAGCCUGAUGCAGCGACGCCGCGUGAGGGAUGGAGGCCUUCGGGUUGUGAACCUCUUUCGCUCAUGGUCAAGCCGCAACAAUGGUUGUGGUGAGGGUAGUGGGUAAAGAAGCGCCGGCUAACUACGUG
rnacentral:rRNA from 1 species